rnacentral:rRNA from 1 species
AACGUAGGUUCCGAGCGUUAUCCGGAUUUACUGGGCGUAAAGCGCGUUCAGGCGGUUUGGCAAGUCGGGCAUGAAAUCUCUCGGCUCAACCGGGAGAGGUUGUCCGAUACUGCUGGACUUGAGGGCAGUAGAGGGUGGUGGAAUUCCCGGUGUAGAGGUGAAAUUCGUAGAUAUCGGGAGGAACACCAGCGGCGAAGGCGGCCUUCUGGACGGUGACUGACACUGAGACGCGAAAGCGUGGGGAGCAAACAGG